CACUGGUGGCGACCGGCGCACGGGUGAGUAACACGUGUGCAACCAACCCCGUACCGGGAGAUAACCCGCGGAAACGUGGACUAACAUCCCAUAACACUGUAUCAUCGCAUGGUGAUGCAUUUAAAAUUCCGGUGGUACGGGACGGGCACGCGCGACAUUAGGUAGUUGGCGGGGUAACGGCCCACCAAGCCGACGAUGUCUAGGGGUUCUGAGAGGAAGGUCCCCCACACUGGAACUGAGACACGGUCCAG
rnacentral:rRNA from 1 species